GAUGAACGCUAGCUACAGGCUUAACACAUGCAAGUCGAGGGACCGGCGCCCGGGUGCGUAACACGUCUCCAACAUGCCCUUUACUCGGGGAUAGCCUUUCGAAAGAAAGAUUAAUACCCGAUAUAAAGGAUGGGGAUGCGUUCCAUUAGGUUGUUGGUGAGGUAACGGCUCACCAAGCCUUCGAUGGAUAGGGGUUCUGAGAGGAAGGUCCCCCACAUUGGAACGGAGACACGGUCCAAACUCCUACGGGAGGCAGGAGUGAGGAAUAUUGUUCAAGGGGCGCUAGCCUGAAACAGCCAAGUAGCGUGAAGGAUGAAGGCUUAUGGGUCGUAAACUUCUUUUAUAUAAGAAUAUGUAUUAGAUGAAUAAGGAUCGGCUAACACCGUGCCAGCAGCCGCGGUAAUAC
rnacentral:rRNA from 1 species